GUGGCUAAGCUAUGCGUAUUAGCUAAGAUCAAAGUGUAGUAUCUGUUCUUAUCAGCUUAAUAUCUGAUACAGUCCCCAUAGGGGGCUCAGUAUAUUAAUCUAUUUUUUGGGACCAGGCGGGUGCUCGGAGCUUGCUCCGACCUCACCACGGGUCGACUCCGCACUGCAUUACAGCGGAGUGCGGCCCAGUGAAU
rnacentral:snRNA from 1 species